GAAAGUAUAGUAAGGGCGUAUGGUGAAUGCCUUGGAAAAUGGAGCCGAUGAAGGACGUGACUACCUGCGAAAAGUGCCGGGGAGCUGGAAGUAAGCUUUGAUCCGACAAUGUCCGAAUGGGGAAACCCAGCACGAUUAAUCUCGUGUUAUCCAUAACUGAAUACAUAGGUUAUGAGAAGGGAACCUUGGGAACUGAAACAUCUUAGUACCAAGAGGAAAAGAAAACGAAUGUGAUUCUGUAAGUAGCGGCGAGCGAAAGCGGAACAGGCCAAACCGGUCUACGGGCCGGGGUUGUAGGACUCAUGUUAGAGUUACAAAGUUAGUGUAUAGCAGAAGCUGUUGGGAAGCAGCGCCGCAGAGGGUGAUAGCCCCGUAUGCGAAAUGCACUAACCUCGAGUGAGUAUCCUGAGUACGGCGGGGCACGAGAAACCCUGUCGGAAUCUACCCAGACCACUGGGUAAGCCUAAAUACUACCAUUUUACCGAUAGUGAACCAGUACCGUGAGGGAAAGGUGAAAAGUACCCCGUGAGGGGAGUGAAAUAGUACCUGAAACCAUACGCUUACAAGAAGUCAGAGCCCGUUAAUGGGUGAUGGCGUGCUUUUUGUAGAAAGAGCCGGCGAGUUACGAUAUCGUGCAAGGUUAAGUGGAAUCCACGGAGCCGUAGUGAAAGCGAGCCUUAAUAGGGCGUUUAGUACGAUGUCGUAGACACGAAACCGGGUGAUCUAGCCAUGAGCAGGUUGAAGUUAGGGUAAAACCUAAUGGAGGACCGAACCAACGUUCGUUGAAAAGACCGUGGAUGACUUGUGGCUAGGGGUGAAAUUCCAAUCGAACCCGGAGAUAGCUAGUUCUCCCCGAUAUAGCUUUAAGGCUAGCGUCGAGGUAAAGGAUUAUGGAGGUAGAGCUCUGAAUGUGUGAUGGCCCCACCUAGGGGUACUGAUCACAAUUAAACUACGAAUGCCAUAAUUUCAUACUCGGCAGUCAGAACAUGGGUGAUAAGGUCCAUGCUCGUGAGGGAAACAGCCCAGAUCAACAACUAAGGUCCCUAAAUUUACGCUAAGUGUGUAAGGAUGUGGAAGUGCACAGACAGCUAGGAUGUUGGCUUAGAAGCAGCCAUCAUUUAAAGAGUGCGUAACAGCUCACUAGUCGAGUGCUUCUGCGCCGAAAAUGUACCGGGGCUUAAGCGUAGUACCGAAGUUUUGGAUUUGCAGCAAUGCAAGUGGUAGGGGAGCGUUCUAAUUGCGAUGAAGUUCGACCGUGAGGACGUGUGGAGCGAUUAGAAGUGAUUAUGCCGGCAUGAGUAACGUUUGGGAGUGAGAAUCUCCCAUGCCGUUUGACCAAGGUUUCCUGGGCAAGGUUCGUCCACCCAGGGUUAGUCAGGACCUAAGGCGAGGCCGAAAGGCGUAGUCGAUGGACAACAGGUUGAUAUUCCUGUACCACCUAGUAAAGUGAUGGAGUGACGGAGAAGGAUAGUGGAUGCCGGCUGUUGGUUAUGCCGGUCUAAGCACAAAGAGGUGUACGUUGGCAAAUCCGCGUACUGUAACCUUGAAGUGUUAUGGGGAGUGAACGCUUCGGCUAGUAGCGAAGUCCAUGACUCCACGCUUCCAAGAAAAGCUUCUAGCGUUAAUUUACUAGGUGCCUGUACCUAGAACGAACACACGUGGUCAAGGAGAGAAUCCUAAGGCAAGCGAGAUAACUAUAGCUAAGGAACUCUGCAAAAUCACCCCGUAAGUUAGCGAGAAGGGGUGCUCACUUUACGUGAGCCGCAGUGAAGAGGAAGGGGCAACUGUUUAGCAAAAACACAGCUCUCUGCAAAGUCGUAAGACGAAGUAUAGGGGGUGACGCCUGCCCAGUGCCGGAAGGUUAAGAGGAGAUGUUAGCUUUGGUGAAGCAUUGAAUUGAAGCCCCGGUGAACGGCGGCCGUAACUAUAACGGUCCUAAGGUAGCGAAAUUCCUUGUCAGGUAAGUUCUGACCCGCACGAAAGGCGUAAUGAUCCCUUCGCUGUCUCGGCUAUAGACUCGGUGAAAUUUUAGUACCAGUGAAGAUGCUGGUUACCCGCAACUAGACGGAAAGACCCCGUGGAGCUUUACUAUAACUUAAUAUUGAAUCUUGGUGUAACAUGUAGAGGAUAGGUGGGAGACUUUGAAGCGGUCACGCUAGUGGCCGUGGAGUCAUCCUUGGAAUACCACCCUUGUUACAUUGAGGUUCUAACCUAGACCCGUUAUCCGGGCCAGGGACAGUGUUUGGUGGGUAGUUUGACUGGGGCGGUCGCCUCCUAAAAUGUAACGGAGGCGCUCAAAGGUACCCUCAGUACGGUUGGAAAUCGUACGAAGAGCGCAAAGGUAUAAGGGUGCUUAACUGCGAGACUUACAAGUCGAACAGAUGCGAAAGCAGGACUUAGUGAUCCGGCGGUCCCGUGUGGAAGGGCCGUCGCUCAACGGAUAAAAGUUACCCCGGGGAUAACAGGCUGAUCUCCCCCAAGAGUUCACAUCGACGGGGAGGUUUGGCACCUCGAUGUCGGCUCAUCGCAUCCUGGAGCUGUAGUCGGUUCCAAGGGUUGGGCUGUUCGCCCAUUAAAGCGGUACGCGAGCUGGGUUCAGAACGUCGUGAGACAGUUUGGUCCCUAUCUGUUGUGGGCGUAGGAAAAUUGAGAAGAGCUGUUCCUAGUACGAGAGGACCGGAAUGGACGCACCCCUGGUGCUCCUGUUGUCACGCCAGUGGCACAGCAGGGUAGCUAUGUGCGGAAAGGAUAAUCGCUGAAGGCAUCUAAGCGAGAAGCCUCCUUCAAGAUGAGUUUUCCCAUUCUUCGGAAGUAAGAUCCCAUGUAGACCACAUGGUUGAUAGGUUGGGUGUGUACGCACGGUGACGUGUUUAGCUAACCAAUACUAAUAGAUCGAGGUCUUUCAAAG
rnacentral:rRNA from 2 species